GGUUGAACUUGAUGCAAUGAAGUCUUUUUUGUUGUUUACUUCGAUUGCUACGUAACUUUCUUUUUCUUUUUUUUCAGGUAGACGAUAAAGACUAACAAGAUUUCCUGAAACAGAUGUUGGUCAUCACACCUGCACAGGCCUCUCUUACUCUCUGUAAUUGUCUAAUUGAUUUAUAGCUUGUUCGGCAUUCCGAAGAUCCUGCUUCUAUCACCAACUCAGUAUGGAAACCGUCCUUGGCUGACUAGCUAUCCCCACUGAUAUUGAAGAGAUGCCCUGACUACAGUGGUGGGAGGGUUGCCGCUGUGAUCCUGUGUGAUGUGUAUCUUGCACAAUGGGUGUGUUCUCUUCAGGACUAAUUAUGUGUCUUACCAAACUUUUUAAUUAAUUAAUAUGCAUAUCAUGUUCAGAUCUUUCUCAGAGUUUUGCUGAGAACAUGAGGCUGAGGGAACAGAACAUAUUCUUAUUUUAAAAGGUAGGGAAUCUUAACACUGAUAAGUCUUUCAUGUUGUGUAUGAGUUUCUUUUUUUACAUAUGAUGUGACAUGUAUGGAGUGCUGAGCUUAGUGUAGGCAUUAUGCAAACACUUAUACGCCACUACUGGCAAAACCAUGACUCGUUAAUGCAAGCUUUCAGUCUAGAGUGGUAUGAAGCAUGUCAAACACAAGGUACAAUGGUGGGUAGGUAGACAUAAAGGGACAGACACUGUAGACAUUGAUUACUUACUCCAACAAACAGUGUGUCCUUUAUACUCCAGUAUUAUAGAUGUAAUGGAUGUCAUCUUAUUUUUGUAUUAUCUUUAGAUACUGUACUGCAAGGAUUCAUUUGAACGAUAGUUCAUUUGUCACCAUUCUCCAGCAGACAUUGUCUCAUUGAGAUGAAGAUUAGAGGGCAACGUCAGUUAGAAUACACUGGGAACACAUCUCACAGAUAAUCAGUUUCUUUAAACAGAGUUUCAGCAGAGAUAUCAUCAUGCUUUUUACCUUUACCUUCUCCAUUUUUCAAAGGAUUUAAACGUCAGAAACCUCAAGGCUUCUGAAAGAGAGCUGAAUCCCCCUGAACCCCCAUAGGAAUAUCCUGCUCCACUCACUCUCCCAUCUGGGUUUGGGGGAAAUGAUCUCUGAAGUAUGUGUGUGUGUGUAUAUAUAUUAAUACACACGACCUAAUCUUUCAUUGAAUAUAAACAUUACAUUGCAAUACUGCUGACAACUUUUGGCCCGUGUGGUCAAGAACAAAUGAUCAUGAAGCUUCCCAUUUCUUUUUGUCGAUGGUCCUACUCACACAUAAUAGAUGGGUUUGCCACAUGGGGGCUGCUGGGGUUGGUAGAUGUGACAUCAUAUAUCCCUGCAUUUUCCAUCAAUAUGACAUACACAGCAUGACAGAGAUGGCAUCACCACUGACAUCAAUGUUUCAUCCCCCUGCAGCUACUUCAAACAUCUCCUGGGACAUCAUACAUACUCAUCAUGCAUCUUGCAACCUGGUCAGCCCAGAUGUUGCAGUCUCUGGAAAUAUCUCAGUAAGCCAAUUCAUUGAGAUUAUGGACCACCAGCUGAUGGACUAAGCCGCACAAUGCUGGCUAGCAAAACCUCUCAGUUCCUACAUGCGGCCCCACUCCUGCUCUGACAAGUCAUCCCAACGCACCUCCAAAAUCAGCAGAUCAAUGGUUCUAUGAGGCUGCAGCUCACAAACCAUGGGUGCUAGUCUUCUGGGAAACAACUGUCCUCCUGCUCCCCACGCCAUCCAACCUCUGCCAGUUUCACAACGUAAACACACAGCAUUAGGUUUCUCUUGAAGAAAUUGUUGAAUCCUCGCUAUCUAUUCGUUAUCACAAAACUUUAGCAAGCAAAUGUCCCUUUCAAUUAUCUGUUUUUGAUACACAAUAUUAUUUUGACACUAUUCUGUGUUCACAGUAAAAUUGCAUCUAAUAAUCUAAUAAUAUCCCUUAUUUUAGGUUUAAUAAUAGCUACAAGGCAACUUCAUCUUUAUUCUUUAUUAUAAUGCAAGUUAAUGAGCAAUGUGAAAAAUGCCUUUCUAU
rnacentral:lncRNA from 1 species